rnacentral:rRNA from 1 species
GACCUCAAAUCAGGUAGGACUACCCGCUGAACUUAAGCAUAUCAAUAAGCGGAGGAAAAGAAACUAACAAGGAUUCCCCUAGUAACUGCGAGUGAAGAGGGAAAAGCUCAAAUUUAAAAUCUGUCAGUCUUUGGCUGACCGAGUUGUAAAUUAGAGGAGUGCUAUCUGCGCUGGCCUGUGCAAAAGUCUCUUGGAAAAGAGCAUCAUAGAGGGUGACAAUCCCGUCUUUGGUACAGAGCUCCAGGGCUUCAUGAUGUGCUCUCAAUGAGUCGAGUUGUUUGGGAAUGCAGCUCUAAAUGGGUGGUAAAUUCCAUCUAAAGCUAAAUAUUGGCGAGAAACCGAUAGCGCACAAGUACCGUGAGGGAAAGAUGAAAAGAACUUUGAAAAGAGAGUUAAACAGUACGUGAAAUUGUUGAAAGGGAAACGCUUGAAGUCAG